GCUCUACAAUUUUUGACACCAUUAUUUGAAUUUAUACCUCAGUGCGCUCUUGCUGCUAUUGUCAUCUUUGUUGUCACCCAGCAAGCCUGAGUCUGGGGUAAAUCCCACCUCCGAGGUGAUCCCACCUCGCAGACCGCCACCCAGCAAGCCUGAAUCUGGGGGUAAAUCCGCUACCGUAGGGGCAUUGGGAACGAGCAAGACUCGAACCCGCCACCUCCGGGUUAGAAUGCGGGCUGGUGGCCAUUGGGCUGACACCUAAUGGUAUCCUUGUUGGGGAUUAAUCAUCAGCCUCCAACAGUGGUUCCUGGUGGUGAUCUUCCAAAGGUGCAGAGAGUUGUUUAUGAUUUCUAACUCUACAAGUGUGGCUGAGGUUCUCUCACAUUGACCAUAAGUUCAACUUUCUACAAUUUCACUGUAGUUUGUGUUUACCAGGCAUGUCAUUGGCAUCACUGCUGAUGAUGAGUCCCUAGAAAUUGCAUGGUAAUUUAUUGCAUUUAUAUCGUUUAGCAUUCAAGAUUCUUGUAGUUGU
rnacentral:lncRNA from 1 species